CAAAACGUCGUCGCUAUCUUCCCGACCAUCUCUGCGGGAAACAUCUGAUUAACGAUUUUGCUUCUCUGGAUUUUUCUUCGUCAAGGUCCCAUGGCUUGAAAAGGACCCAUUUAUAUGCCAAACAGCUUAAAACUGAAUUUGGGGAGAGGAUGAAAAGGAGCUGCUUAUCUGAUUCCCUUGAACUGACUAUGCUAUUGUCUUUCUCUUAGUCAUCAGCCUUCUUCUCCGAUCGUCAACCUCCGUCUACCUUUCUUCGGCAGUUUCUUCAUCUGUUUUAUACUUGAGGUUUCUCCUUCUCUUCUUAAUUUCUUUAAUCUAAUUCUCAUGUGCAUUAUUAAGAACACUCUUUGUGUAAUGACUUUUUUAAUUGUUCCCAGUUAUGCGUUUAUGUAUUUUGGUUAUCAGACUAGAUUUGGAUGCACAAAUGGAUUUUACAAUGUAAAGAUGGUAAUGCUAAUUUGAUCAACACAAAUUGAAUGUUGUA